CGCAAAAUUGCAAACAAUUAUCCAUGCCUAUUGAUAGUUAAUGUUUUUAAAACAUCUUAGGUAUAAAAUACCGUCAGGCUUUUUCAGACAUUGCCCAAAAGAAUGGCGUUUGUUGUAUUGCUACUUUAAGUACGAGUUUGUGUAAAAAUAUCGAGAAAUAAGAUUAAAAUCUCCCUCUUUGUAAUAUUCUCUCAUGUGCAUAUUUAAACGAGGAGGUAUGAUAAGAAUCCCUUUCAAGGUCCCUACAACUGCAAAUGAAUUGUUACAAAUAUUAAGCUGUGAAAUUCUUGGCAUGAUAUGAUUUAAUUUCACUUUGCCAAAGUUUCACUGUGGUGAAAUAGAAAUAUCAAAGUUUACAUAUUUGACCUAAAAUGGUCGUUUUUACACGUACUGUGGAGGCAAAUUACAUGAGCACAGCCAUUUUUGUAAAGAAAUAUUAUCCACAUUAACGUCUUAUGUAUAGCUACCUUGAAAUAAAGAACAAAGACUGUGGCUAACGUUAAAAACACAUUAUAACGGAUCUCAAAACGAAGUAAAUAUAGUUCGACUUUUUGCUGUUUUGCCAUUAAAUGCAAGGUUUAAAUUCUGUAUCCAAGACCAAAAAAAAAAAAAAAAAUACUGUCAUGGCUUCUUACAACAGAUCAAAUGUCUUAUGCACAUCUGAAGAAUGUCAUUUGAUUUAUUUAAUGCUUUGAUUUUAAUGUCAAGAGGGACAUGACAUUGACCUUAUCGGCUCCACCUUAUCACACCUCCCCCUUUCGGGGAUUUAACUAAAUAAGUCCUCAACCCUUUAGUUUGUUCUAGCAUAACUUUUUUUUAGUUUUUAUUAUUUUUGAACUAUGUUAAUUAUUCUUUUCCAGAAACACAGAUAGUGUUUUUACAUUCUUAUUUUGUUGAACCAUUCAUGUGAUACCCAAAAUACUCUUUAUUGUUUAUUUUUUAGUUCCUGAAAUAAUUGUGUUUGUUUUUAAAGACAUAUCCCCCGUGGAUAUAAUAAUUAUCACAUGUAUGGAAAUUUAUAAAAUUGUUUUGUGUCUAUUUAAACACAGGUAGUGUUUUUAAUGUUUGGUUUACUUUUUUGAUAUGGAUUCACAUGUUUAUGGGAGCCGGAUAUGACUUCCAUUUAUUUCUCGAUUUCUGCUUAGGCUAACUUUUCAAGUGAUUGCCUAACUAAUGCGUAUUGACAUUGCGUAGCCUAAUGUUAACACUAUCUUACCUAUUCAUGGUUAUUUUACAAGGACAGAAACUGUUCCUUUCAUUUACACUAUCUUACCAUGAAGGACAGACACUGAUUCCAAUGAGAAUGAUUCACAUUAAACGAAAAUCACUUCGAACAUUACAUCGUGUUGUAUUGACUUUGCUUAUAUUUUGACAUUCCACUUUAAACACCCACAAAUGAUAAGAAGCGUAUCGUAAUUGAUGUUGUAUUGUGGGAACGCCAUAUUGCUUUAAUGUCCCUGCCAAAUAAAACCUUUUUUUCUGAGUACUAAAUAUGUUAUUUUUCUAACAAUGCAUAUUACUAAAUUGUAUGCGGCUUAGAUGCAAUACUGAAAAAACAAGUUGUUCAAAAAUAUGUUGAACACCUCACAAACUGAUUUUUUUUUUGGCAUUAUAAUAAGUGCAAUUCCUCAAAUGUAUGUGAUCUACAAAAGUGAUAUCUAAAAUAAUGAAUUUGAUAUUUCAGAG
rnacentral:lncRNA from 1 species